AGCGAGGUCGUCUUUCUCGGGCUCGAUAGACCUAGCUGUCCUCUCAGAGCCGCAAUUCCAUAGGAAUUGAGUAAGGCUCUCUAUCUUCACUGCAUGCCGUACCGCCCCUCUCUCGUUGCCAAGCAUAGAGAAGCCACACCGCUGUACAACACUGAUCCAAAUGCCAUGCUCAAUUAGUGUCUUGGUUUCUGUUACUAUUUCAGAUUGGGAGGUAGUGGUGGUGGUAUGGCGGUAAGAUGGUGCUGGCUUUUUGGUUUUGGUUUCGGUUUCUAUUUGUGCAAUGAGGUAGGGGUCGCUUUUUCCUUUUUGUUUCUGUUUGUGAGGUUGUAUUGGUGGUGGCAGCGAUAUGGUGGUGAGGUAGUCCCGGCUUUUGGUUUCUGUUUCUUUUGUAAGUUUCAGAUUGUGAAUUGGUGGUGGUGGUGGUAGUGUGAUGAUGCCGACUUUUGGGGUUCUUUUUCUGUUUCUUUUUGUGAGUUUUAGAUUAGAGCUGGUAGUGGCGAUGGCAUUGGCGGCUGUGGGGAUGAGAUGGUAGUUGGGCUUUGGUAGUUGUUCAGUUGUUUGCGGUGGUGGUGGUCAAGGUGAUGGUGGUGGUUGUGUUGGUGGUAUGGUGGUUGUGGGGUGAGGUUUGUAACCAAUUAUUUGGUUGAUUUUGAUCAAUAUAUUAGUUAAUUUACAAUCAAUUAUUUGAGAUUAUGAUCAAUAAAUUGGAUAUUUUGUGAUCAAUGUGACCAAUAAAUCGUG
rnacentral:lncRNA from 1 species